GUGCUCACUUCAGCAGCACAUAUACUAAAAUUGGAACGACACAGAGAAGAUUAGUAUGGCCCCUGUGCAAGGAUGACACGCAAAUUCGUGAAGCAUUCCAUAUUUAA
rnacentral:snRNA from 1 species